GAUGAACGCUGGCGGCGUGCCUAAUACAUGCAAGUCGAGCGAACAGAUGAGGAGCUUGCUCCUCUGACGUUAGCGGCGGACGGGUGAGUAACACGUGGAUAACCUACCUAUAAGACUGGGAUAACUUCGGGAAACCGGAGCUAAUACCGGAUAAUAUAUUGAACCGCAUGGUUCAAUAGUGAAAGACGGUUUUGCUGUCACUUAUAGAUGGAUCCGCGCCGCAUUAGCUAGUUGGUAAGGUAACGGCUUACCAAGGCAACGAUGCGUAGCCGACCUGAGAGGGUGAUCGGCCACACUGGAACUGAGACACGGUCCAGACUCCUACGGGAGGCAGCAGUAGGGAAUCUUCCGCAAUGGGCGAAAGCCUGACGGUGCAACGCCGCGUGAGUGAUGAAGGUCUUCGGAUCGUAAAACUCUGUUAUUAGGGAAGAACAAAUGUGUAAGUAACUAUGCACGUCUUGACGGUACCUGAUCAGAAAGCCACGGCUAACUACGUG
rnacentral:rRNA from 1 species